rnacentral:rRNA from 1 species
UACGGGGGGAGCAAGCGUUGUUCGGAUUUACUGGGCGUAAAGGGCGCGUAGGCGGUCAGCACAAGUCGGUUGUGAAAUCUCCGGGCUUAACUCGGAAAGGUCAACUGAUACUGUGCGACUAGAGUGCAGAAGGGGCAACUGGAAUUCUCGGUGUAGCGGUGAAAUGCGCAGAUAUCAGGAGGAACACCGGUGGCGAAGGCGGGUCUCUGGGCCGUAACUGACGCUGAGGAGCGAAAGCGUGGGGAGCGAACAGG